rnacentral:rRNA from 1 species
CUUGCCCUUUAGACUGGGAUAACAGAGGGAAACUUCUGAUAAUACUGGAUAAGUUAGUAUAUCGCAUGAUAUGCAAAUGAAAGCUACGGCACUAAAGGAGAGCUUUGCGUCCUAUUAGCUAGUUGGUAAGGUAAGAGCUUACCAAGGCGAUGAUAGGUAGCCGGCCUGAGAGGGUGGACGGCCACAAGGGGACUGAGAUACGGCCCUUACUCCUACGGGAGGCAGCAGAC